CUUUCGGUGGCGUAGUGGUCAAGGCAGUUGUCUGGUAAACAGGAGGGCGCAGGUUCGAUCCUACCCGAGACA
rnacentral:tRNA from 1 species